GUCGACGGUGCCCGGCGUGGCCCGGGCGGCCGGAUUCGGCACGGCGGAGAGCAUGCGGCGCGCGUUCCACCGCGUGCUCGGGAUCUCGCCGUCGGCG
rnacentral:tRNA from 1 species